UUCUCCCAUGAGUUUUAAGCAUGAAUGAUAUAAUGAUAGGGGGUUUUGUUUGUUUUUUGUUUUUCACACUGAGACCGUGAAAUAGGCUCUCUAUUGGCAGUGUCAUGUCAUCAAAGAUGAACAGCUCGAGAUUCAGGAGACCUAGGUUCUGGCUGAGCUCUGUGCCCUUGAGCUCCCAUAUGAUGGGGGGCAAUCUCUGCCUCCAUUUCCUAAACUGAUCCCUCUGGUCCAUCAUGUCUCUGACAUCCACUAAGGCUACAUCUUUUCAUUGGUGUUACUGUAUGGUUUGAAGGAUAACUGAUGGCAGUGUAUUUAUGGUAUCUUGGUGACUCCUACCUUAUCCCUGUUGACUUUUAAGAUUUUAUGGCAAAUUGAGUUAGGAAUCUUUUCCUAGCAAGAAUGCUUUAUAAGUAAGAGGUCCUUAAAAUAAAAGAAAAAAACCUAACAUGUAGACUUUUCUCUGCAGCCCCAUGUUCCGGAACCUUCUGUUUUUAACCUGGCUGUUAAUAUUGGACUAAUUUCUUAUUGCAGUUUGCCCAGUUUUGUGCCAAAGAGCUCCUUUUUCGUACUUCCUCAGGCAUGACCUUAUACAUCUUCGCUGGAGAUAAAGUGGGAUUAGCGGGCCUGAGCAGCUCGAGGGAGGAAAAGUGUCUUAUCUCUAUAACUUUCCAAAGUCAUCCUCUUCUGUGUGGUGGAAAUUGUGUGCACUUUGGGAGGCCGAGACGGGCGGAUCACGAGGUCAGGAGAUUGAGACCAUCCUGGCUAACACCCUGAAACCCCGUCUCUACAAAAAAUACAAAAAACUAGCCGGGCGAGGUGGCGGACGCCUGUAGUCCCAGCUACUCCGGAGGCUGAAGCAGGAGAAUGGCGUAAACCCGGGAGGCGGAGCUUGCAGUGAGCCGAGAUCCGGCCACUGCACUCCAGCCUGGGCGACAGAGCGAGACUCCAUCUCAAAAAAAAAAAAAAAGAGAUUGUGUGAGUAUUGCAUCUGGUGGUUAUGGAUUGUGCUUGAACACUUUUGUAUAGUGGUGACCAUAUAUGGGUUAUGCUUGC
rnacentral:lncRNA from 1 species